CCUACGGGCGGCUGCAGUGAGGAAUAUUGGUCAAUGGACGAGAGUCUGAACCAGCCAAGUAGCGUGAAGGAUGACUGCCCUAUGGGUUGUAAACUUCUUUUAUAUGGGAAUAAAAUGUUCCACGUGUGGGAUUUUGUAUGUACCAUAUGAAUAAGGAUCGGCUAACUCCGUGCCAGCAGCCGCGGUAAUACGGAGGAUCCGAGCGUUAUCCGGAUUUAUUGGGUUUAAAGGGAGCGUAGGUGGAUUGUUAAGUCAGUUGUGAAAGUUUGCGGCUCAACCGUAAAAUUGCAGUUGAAACUGGCAGUCUUGAGUACAGUAGAGGUGGGCGGAAUUCGUGGUGUAGCGGUGAAAUGCUUAGAUAUCACGAAGAACUCCGAUUGCGAAGGCAGUUCACUGGACUGCAACUGACACUGAGGCUCGAAAGUGUGGGUAUCAAACAGGAGUAGAUACCCUAGUAGUC
rnacentral:rRNA from 1 species